GGCUAGUACUGUAGAUCGAGCAUGCGCUCAGUCGUCGUAGAGCAGAGUGUGAUACGAUGAGAUUCAGGCGGUCGGACGGGUGAGUAAUGCCUAGGAAUCUGCCUGGUAGUGGGGGAUAACGUCCGGAAACGGGCGCUAAUACCGCAUACGUCCUGAGGGAGAAAGUGGGGGAUCUUCGGACCUCACGCUAUCAGAUGAGCCUAGGUCGGAUUAGCUAGUUGGUGGGGUAAAGGCCUACCAAGGCGACGAUCCGUAACUGGUCUGAGAGGAUGAUCAGUCACACUGGAACUGAGACACGGUCCAGACUCCUACGGGAGGCAGCAGUGGGGAAUAUUGGACAAUGGGCGAAAGCCUGAUCCAGCCAUGCCGCGUGUGUGAAGAAGGUCUUCGGAUUGUAAAGCACUUUAAGUUGGGAGGAAGGGCAGUAAGUUAAUACCUUGCUGUUUUGACGUUACCAACAGAAUAAGCACCGGCUAACUUCGUGCCAGCAGCCGCGGUAAUACGAAGGGUGCAAGCGUUAAUCGGAAUUACUGGGCGUAAAGCGCGCGUAGGUGGUUCAGCAAGUUGGAUGUGAAAUCCCCGGGCUCAACCUGGGAACUGCAUCCAAAACUACUGAGCUAGAGUACGGUAGAGGGUGGUGGAAUUUCCUGUGUAGCGGUGAAAUGCGUAGAUAUAGGAAGGAACACCAGUGGCGAAGGCGACCACCUGGACUGAUACUGACACUGAGGUGCGAAAGCGUGGGGAGCAAACAGGAUUAGAUACCCUGGUAGUCCACGCCGUAAACGAUGUCGACUAGCCGUUGGGAUCCUUGAGAUCUUAGUGGCGCAGCUAACGCGAUAAGUCGACCGCCUGGGGAGUACGGCCGCAAGGUUAAAACUCAAAUGAA
rnacentral:rRNA from 1 species